rnacentral:rRNA from 2 species
ACGAUGAAGAGUUUGAUCCUGGCUCAGGAUGAACGCUAGCGGCAGGCUUAACACAUGCAAGUCGAGGGGUAACAUUGUAGCUUGCUACAGAUGACGACCGGCGCACGGGUGCGUAACGCGUAUACAAUCUACCUUAUACUGGGGUAUAGCCUUUAGAAAUGAAGAUUAAUCCCCCAUAGUCUCUUAGAGUGGCAUCACUUCAAGAGUAAAGGUUACGGUAUAAGAUGAGUAUGCGUUCUAUUAGUUUGUUGGUAAGGUAACGGCUUACCAAGACUACGAUAGAUAGGGGCCCUGAGAGGGGGAUCCCCCACACUGGUACUGAGACACGGACCAGACUCCUACGGGAGGCAGCAGUGAGGAAUAUUGGACAAUGGAGGCAACUCUGAUCCAGCCAUGCCGCGUGUAGGAUGACUGCCCUAUGGGUUGUAAACUACUUUUAUACAGGAAGAAACACCUCUACGAGUAGAGGCUUGACGGUACUGUAAGAAUAAGGAUCGGCUAACUCCGUGCCAGCAGCCGCGGUAAUACGGAGGAUCCAAGCGUUAUCCGGAAUCAUUGGGUUUAAAGGGUCCGUAGGUGGAUAAUUAAGUCAGAGGUGAAAUCUUGCAGCUCAACUGUAAAAUUGCCUUUGAUACUGGUUAUCUUGAGUUAUUAUGAAGUAGUUAGAAUAUGUAGUGUAGCGGUGAAAUGCAUAGAUAUUACAUAGAAUACCAAUUGCGAAGGCAGAUUACUAAUAAUCAACUGACACUGAUGGACGAAAGCGUGGGUAGCGAACAGGAUUAGAUACCCUGGUAGUCCACGCCGUAAACGAUGGUUACUAGCUGUUUGGACUUCGGUCUGAGUGGCUAAGCGAAAGUGAUAAGUAACCCACCUGGGGAGUACGUUCGCAAGAAUGAAACUCAAAGGAAUUGACGGGGGCCCGCACAAGCGGUGGAGCAUGUGGUUUAAUUCGAUGAUACGCGAGGAACCUUACCAGGGCUUAAAUGUAAGUUGCAUUAGUUAGAGAUAGCUAUUUCUUCGGACCACUUACAAGGUGCUGCAUGGUUGUCGUCAGCUCGUGCCGUGAGGUGUCAGGUUAAGUCCUAUAACGAGCGCAACCCCUGUUGUUAGUUGCCAGCGAGUCAAGUCGGGAACUCUAACAAGACUGCCAGUGCAAACUGUGAGGAAGGUGGGGAUGACGUCAAAUCAUCACGGCCCUUACGUCCUGGGCUACACACGUGCUACAAUGGUAGGGACAGAGAGCAGCCACUGGGCGACCAGGAGCGAAUCUAUAAACCCUAUCACAGUUCGGAUCGGAGUCUGCAACUCGACUCCGUGAAGCUGGAAUCGCUAGUAAUCGGAUAUCAGCCAUGAUCCGGUGAAUACGUUCCCGGGCCUUGUACACACCGCCCGUCAAGCCAUGGAAGUUGGAAGUGCCUGAAGUCCGUCACCGCAAGGAGCGGCCUAGGGUAAAGUCGAUAACUAGGGCUAAGUCGUAACAAGGUAGCCGUACCGGAAGGUGCGGCUGGAACACCUCCUUU